rnacentral:lncRNA from 1 species
CCCCACCACCCCGAGCUGCUGGGCAGGCAGCAGGGUGCUGAGGGGCACCGCCGCUGGGACAGGGCCGGGUGCCAGGAGGUGGGUGCCAGGAGGUGGGUGUCAGGAGGUGGGUGCCACGGCUGCCACUCCUGGAGCUGCCGCCUGGGCUCCCAGGAAGGUCCGGCACUCGUACCCCACCCGGCGGCUCUGCCGAUCGCUGCACAGUAAUCAAUAACUUGCUGUUUAAACAAACUGGCUUUCUGUUCCACUUAGAGUCAUUUCCCUCGUGUUUCACUCAGCGCUCCAUCCACAAUUUUACGUGUUUAGCAAACUAUGUGCUCCUUGCUGCUUGUGCUAAUCACUCGGCUGCUAGCAGCACGCCUGUGUGGAAGCGCGCUCUGAUGUGAGCUAUUUCUGUGAGCCUGACUCACUUUUGUUAGCGCCUUUUUCAUUUGAGACCCUGUCUGGAGAAUUGCCAUCCCAGAGCUCUCUGCCUGGAGUGAGCAAUUAUUGACAGUACACAGGGAGAGGAGAGUUUUAAAGGUGGCAAGGCUCGUAAUGAAUAUUUUAACUGCUUUGCUGGACUAAAUUCAGCUUUCACGAAACAGACUGGAACCAGUGGCCCGGUACCAAAUGAGAACGGGCAUGGAGCAUACCCGAUACCAUAAUGUCCCAACAGUGCAUUUUUAAAGAAAACUGCUCUUCAGCAGGACAAGCUGUGCCGUCGGAUUGCCGCCCCUGCCCGGCUUCCAGGCACGCUGCUGCCAGGGCUGCCUCCCACGGCCUGGGGCUCGGCACCGUGCCACCAGAUGUCAGGAGUGAAAGGAGAACAAGAAAACCUUCCUCUGACAGCGUACAGAAGUUUCUGCCUUUAUUUAAUUUAAACCACCAAGAGGUCAACACAGGCUUGGAAGAAGCAGGGAGGGAAGAAAGCAUCAUUGCACAGACAGCUAUUACCUGCUGGAAACCGUCUGACAUCCACGAGAAUGAACUGUAUUGGUGUUCAGCCAUGAUUAUGGACUUCCUAAAUACAUGCACUUUCCAUAGAGAUUAGUAUUUUAAUUAUACGUGAUGUUGCAGAGUCAUGGUUUAUAACUCAAGGGGGGACCUCAGCUGCUGUAAAUCACAACAGCUUCAUUGACUUUGGUGUCCACUGCAUGCUAUUGCCUCUCUUUAUUUCCUGUUUAUCCCAUUAUCUGUCACCAAGAACCAAGAACCAAUUCCCCUAAAAUAUUUGUGUAUCUUUAAUACCUAUCUUCGUCUGGGGAGAAGAAGCUGUAUUGCUGGGAGCCCUCUCAAAUGGAUGAGGCAAAAUAAGCAGCCAUGGGGACCGUUCCCCUUGCAGAAGGGGAAGCUGCCCCAGGCAGAGAUGAGCACCCGGCCCCUGUGGGACAGCCUUUGGGCUGUGAGUGCACGCCCCAUGGGGAGAAACCCUCCAGGACACAGCCCUGCACUGCUGCUGCCGCGGGGUGUGCAGCACCAGGGCGCCCUGCCCUCCUGCAGCACCCCGGCCUCCGUGGGCACGCAGAAGAUGCUGGUUUCCUGUGUUCUUGUAACUGCUUGGAGGCUGGUUUUGCUUUGUUUUGCUAAACAGAAGUCUGUUUUGUAAAUAAAGCAGUAAAUAUUGUUGUUCCUCUAAGGAAA